UACGUAGGGGGCGAGCGUUGUCCGGAAUUACUGGGCGUAAAGGGUGCGUAGGCGGCGCUUUAAGUUGGAUGUGAAAUCCCCGAGCUUAACUUGGGGUCUGCAUCCAAUACUGGGGCGCUAGAGUGCAGGAGGGGUAAGCGGAAUUCUCAGUGUAGCGGUGAAAUGCGUAGAUAUUGGGAAGAACACCGGUGGCGAAGGCGGCUUACUGGACUGUAACUGACGCUGAUGCACGAAAGCGUGGGGAGCAAACAGG
rnacentral:rRNA from 1 species